ensembl:lncRNA
GGAGGUUACGGCGUGUCCGGCACGUGGUUCCGGCACGUCUGAGAGGUGUUCCUGGCAUGCCAGGCAGGUGAUUCGGGAGAGGCCGCCAAGUGGUACUGGCAUAGCCGGCACGUGAUUUUGUCGUGUCCGGCAGGUGGGUCUGGCGAGAAAAGCAGGUGGUUCCGAUGAGAGUUGCAAAUUGUUCCGGUCUGUCCUGGAAGUGGUUCCGGCGUGUCCGGAAUGUGCUUCUGGCACGUCUGAGAGUUGGUUCCAGCAUGCACAGCAGGUGAUUCCGGAUUGUCCAUCAAGUGGUUCUGGCGUAGCCAGCAGGUGAUUUUGGCAUCCGGGAGGUGGUUCCGGCGAGUUGAGCAGGUGGUUCCGGCGUGUUCGGCAGGUGCAUCCGGUGUCUCUGGCACGUGGUUCUGGCAUGUCUUAGAGGUGGUUCCAGCUUGCCAGGCAGGUGAUGCCGGAGUGUCUGGCCAGUGGUUCUGGUGUAGCCGGCAGGUGAUUUUGGCGUGUCCGGCAGGUAGUUCUGGGGAGUGCAUCAGGUGGUUCCAGCAUGCUCAGCAGGUGGUUCCGGUGUGUCCGGGAGGUGGUUCCUGCGUGUCUGGCACAUGGUUCAGGCACGUCUUAGAUGCGGUUCCGACGCACCCGGCAUAUGAUUCCGGAGUGUCCGCCAAGUGGUUCUGGCAUAGCUGGAAGGUGAUUUUGGCAUGUCCGGCAGGUGGUUCCGGCGAGUCGACCUGGUGGUUCCGGCAUGCUUGGCAGGUGCUUCUGGCAUCUCCGGCACGUGUUUCUGGCACGUCUGAGAGGUGGUUCCGGCAUGCACAGCGGGUGAUUCCGGAUUGUCCACCUAGUGGUUCUGGCGUAGCCAGCAGGUGAUUUUGGCGUUUCUGGCAAGUGCUUCCAGCGAGUUGAGCAAGUGGUUCCGGCAAGCUCGGCAGGUGGUUCACUUGUGUCUGGCAGGUGGUUCCAGUCUACCCAGGACGUGGUUCUGGCGUGUCCGGCACGUGGUGCUGGUACGUCUGAGAGGUGGGUCCAGCAUGCCCAGCAGGUGAUUCCGGAGUGUCCGCCAAGUGGUUCUGGCGUAGCCGGCAGGUGAUUUUGGCUUGUCCGGCACGUGUUUCAGGGGAGUGGAUCAGGUCGUUCCGGCAUGCUCGGCAGGUGCUUCCGGCAUCUCCGGCAUGUGAUUCUCACACAUUUGAGAGGUGGUUCCGGCAUGGCCGACAAGUGAUUCCUGAGUGUCCGGCAAGUGGUUCUGGUGUAGCCGGCAGGUGAUUUUGGCAUUUCCGGCAGGUGGUUCCGACGUGUUGAACAGGUGGUUCCGGUGAGCUCAUUAGUUGCUUCCAUCAUCUCUGGUACGUGGUUCUGGAAUGUCUGAGAGGUGGUUCCGGCAUGCCCGGCAGGUGAUUCCAGACUGUCCACCAAGUGGUUCUGGCACAGCCGGCAGGUCAUAUUGGCGUAUCUGGUAGGUGGGUCCUGCGAGUCGAGCAGAUGGCUCCAGCGUGCUCGGCAGGUGGUUCAGGCGUGUCCGGCAGGUGGUUCUGGCAUAGCCAGCAGGUGUUUUGGCCUGUCUGGCAGUUGGUUGCGGCGAGUCGUGCAUGUGGCUCCGGCGUGCUUGGUAGGUGGAUCCAGCGUGUCCGGCAAGUGCUUCCAGUCUGUCCGGUAGGUGCUUCCGGUGUCUUCAGCACAUGAUUCUGGCACAUUUGUGACGUGGUUCUGGCUUGCCCAACAAGUGAUUCCAGAGUGUCCGGCAAGUGGUUCUGGCAUAUCCGGCACAUGAUUAUGGCGUGUCCAGCAGGUGGUUCCGGCCUGUCGAGCAGGUGGUUCCAGUGAGCUCGGUAG